rnacentral:lncRNA from 1 species
UCAUCUUCUCAUCUCCUCUGCCCCAAUUUCAUCUCAAAACCCUCGCACCAAUCCACCGUAACCCUUCCACCGUUCAGCACUGCCACGAAACACCUCUCAACACUCCUCUAACAAAUUCUUAUGUUGGAACCCACUCCGGUUCCAAAUCGAUAAACGAAUCGGUGAACGGGUUGCGUGAUUUCACGAUCAGAUGACCGGCCAGAUGGUAAUCCAGUUACAACCGCUCUGAGAGAGAGAUAGAAAUUGACGACGACGACGUUGGUGAGUCUCCGCCCCUAUCAUCACCACUACCACCACCGCCUCACACUGCCAUCAGUUGUAGUAGUUGAAAACCCUAGACGGUCGGUUCCUGUCUCCCAAAUCCCAUCUUUUUAAAGAACUUCUUUGUCUAACACUGAAGAACCCUAAAUGGCGAUUGUGACGACGGUGGCGAAUCUGGUCUGGAUUUUGCCAGGUUCUUUCAGAAAGGUUGAUCACUUCUGAGGAUAUAUCCUGGUGUAUCACAUUAUUGUCCCGUUUUGAUAUAGAGACGAAGACAUAACAACUGGGACACAGGAGGCCCAUCAAGAUCUUUUGGGUUGGUUUGGUGAUGAUGGUUGUUGCGUUGGAGGUGGCGGUGGUGGGUAAAUGAUGAACAGGGUUUGAGUGUUUGGUUGCAGAAGUUGAAAAGCCUACAAAGAUGGGUGAAAGAAUGGUGUUUUGAAACAAAAGAAGAGAUAUAGUGGCUGGCGUUGACAACAGUCAGCGUUUGCGAAACAAUCGAGGCCGAUGAUUUUGAACUAACUUGGUACCUAUUUCGUUUUCCCUCACAAGAUACUUCCAUAGCUUGCUUUGUUCUUACGCAUGUUUUUUUUAUGAAGAGACUUUUGAGGUUGUAUGGCAGGGUAUUCUAAGUCUCCGGUUCUCAUACCACCUAGGGUUCUGCCCUUGCUUCAUGAUUUAGCACAACAUAUGGUGCAUGCUGGUCACACUUACAGGUCCGGCUAGGAGGAUCUAGUCGCCUAAUCCUUGUAUACAAACACACCCGGUUGUGCGGAAUCCAACCGGAGAUGCAAACCGAGUUUGAACACGACAAGAACACGAGAAGGAGACCGAGACUCAACGAUUAACACUAAUGCAUUAAUACUUGAAACGGUUACAAAUCAAUGUUUACAAAUAAUCUUUGCAAACUCUCACUAGUUCACUCUCGGUUGAAUGUUCUUGUUUGUACACACCCUCUCUUAUCAGUGUAGCCCAAGUCUGCCCCAGGACCCGUACAAAAUAUCUGUUAUGCCCUGAACCAGUUUUAGGUCAUUUACAAAGAAAACUGGAACUCCACAACAAGCUUUAAAUGAUCCGAAAGUUGAAGUUCCACCACUGUUGACCAUGAGCGAAGAUAAUUACGUGCUCAAGUUCCCAGGAAUCGAGUAAUACCUAAAGAGUGGGGAGAUUAAGAAGUAUGUGCCAAAUAUGGAAAUUAUAUACCAGCCAACUAGGUGUAAAUGAUUUAAAAGUCAUUUUGUUCACGAAUAGUUCCCAAGUUAGGUUAAUCAACUCAUACUCAAUUUUCUCACUCGCAUGAAGUUUUGGUCGGUGCAUGCGUGUUUUGUUCAUGUUAUGGAAAUAUAUAGAGAGAGAAAAGUCUCUUUGUUCAUGUUCUAUAAUGGUUUAUUACGUUUCUGAUG